UAGAGUUCAAUCUUAUUUUUCUAAACAAACACCUUAAAAUAAAUGAUGUGAUGCAGUCCAUUCAUGUUGUAAAGGAGCAGAACCCCUCUUACCCUUCAAGAUUAAUCUAAAGGUGUAAUAUGUGUACAAGCACAUUUUUGGGCCUAGCAAAUAUCUAUGAUAAGAAAGUCACGUUGCAGUAAAAUAUUUCUGAAACAGGUGAGUGGUGAUGACGACGGAAGAGCUUUUGCUGUACUCUUCUCCAGGUGAGAUGGGCUGUGUGAGAUGGAUAGUGCUUCCUGAAUUACUUCAAUGGCUUCUGUGUGAUUCAUCUGUCUCAAAGCAGCGAUCAACUCCUGAACUGUACCACCAGAGACCUAAGAGAGAAGAGACCAGAUGCUCACCAUCCUCUAGGCUGGCUAGAACUGAAGGGCUCCUCACUGUCCAGGAGGACAAUGUUCUCUACACGUCUGAAUGUUCUUUAUAACUUGUUACAGCCACGUUACCUCAUAGUUAUCUAGCAGAGUUUUCGAUGGAGAAGGGCUCAACCUGAAGGCAUUAUUAAGUAUGCCAAGACCCAGUUUUUGUGCUAGAGUGGACCAGUUUUUGGUAGGAUCAGGCAAUUCCAACAGUUUGUAAAGCUGCAUCUUGGAACUUUCAUUCAGCUCUCUCAAGUUUCCUGGCGAACAAAGAAAUAUGUUAGUUUAUUAUUUACACAAAUCAUGCACCAGUUCAUUUCUAAGCAGAAACAAAACUAAACUGAAGAGUAUAUUAGCAUCCAGUCCCAGUGUUUAUAAAUGUAUUGUUGUGAUAUUGAAAAUGUAUUCCUUUGUGUCCUUAUGGCCUCUUAAGGGAAUCAUGCUCAUUCUGAGAGCAAGUGGUUGGGAAGGUACCUCUUCUCCCUCACCAGUUCAGUUACAAGCUAUUGCAGGGCAAUGGCUUCUGCCACUAUGGUUUGAGAAUUCAAUUACUAGAGGGAUAUUGUCAAGUCUUUAUAGAUGUUACCUCGUGUCAGCAAGUCCUCCAAAACCUCUGUUGACUGGUAGGGUUUCCCAUUUAAUAUGUCAUACACCUAAGAGAAUACAUUAAAUUCAGUAUUUAGCAGAAACCUUGUUAGUAUCCAUUAUCUUGACAAGUCUCAGCAGUAUUGUACCUAAUUCCAUCUGUAAAUCAGCAUUUUUUCCUCUCUGAGGUUCAGUAGUCUGUUAAGUGGAGCUUUCUUCCAAUGUUAUUUCAUUGGGGGAGUUUUGUGGCUGAAUUAGUUUAAUUUUUGAUGGCAAAUUAUUUGCUUGUCUCUACUGAAAUAGUGAGAUGGAUGCAGUGAAAGGAGCUAGCUAAGAGAUCUGAACUGUUCUUGAUGAUU